UCUCCGUUGGUGAACCAGCGGAGGGAUCAUUACAGGACUCGCAAGACUCCUUCACCCUGUGAACCUCACUACAAGCACGUUGCUUCGGCGGGUGUCCCGGCGGGGGUUUUCCCUCGCCGGGGCGCACAGCCCGCCGGCAGCCUACUAUACUCUGUCUCUUUGCGUUGGCAUCUCGAGAAAAAACAAACAAGUUGAAACUUUCAACAACGGAUCUCUUGGUUCUG
rnacentral:misc_RNA from 1 species